AGCAGCCGCGGUAAUUCCAGCUCCAAUAGCGUAUAUUAAAGUUGCUGCAGUUAAAAAGCUCGUAGUUGAAUUUCGGGACCAUCAUGUCGGUCGUGCCUCGGUACGUACUGGCAUUGUUGGUUUCUCCCUUCUGACGAACCAUGAUGUCAUUUAUUUGGUGUCGUGGGAAAUCAGGACUGUUACUUUGAAAAAAUUAGAGUGUUUAAAGCAGGCUCACGCUUGAAUACAUUAGCAUGGAAUAAUGAAAUAGGACGUUUGAUUCUAUUUUGUUGGUUUCUAGGAUCGACGUAAUGAUUAAUAGGGAUAGUUGGGGGCAUUAGUAUUCAAUUGUCAGAGGUGAAAUUCUUGGAUUUAUUGAAGACUAACUAUUGCGAAAGCAUUUGCCAAGGAUGUUUUCAUUAAUCAAGAACGAAAGUUAGGGGAUCGAAGACGAUCAGAUACCGUCGUAGUCUUAACCAUAAACUAUGCCGACUAGGGAUCGGAUGAUGUUAAAUUUUUUUUAAUGACUCAUUCGGCGCCU
rnacentral:misc_RNA from 1 species